GAGUUUGAUCGUGGCUCAGAUUGAACGCUGGCGGCAGGCCCUAACACAUGCCAAGUCGAGCGGAUGACGGGAGCUUGCUCCUUGAUUCAGCGGCGGACGGGUGAGUAAUGCCUGGGAAUCUGCCUGGUAGUGGGGGACAACGUUUCGAAAGGAACGCUAAUACCGCAUACGUCCUACGGGAGAAAGCAGGGGACCUUCGGGCCUUGCGCUAUCAGAUGAGCCUAGGUCGGAUUAGCUAGUUGGUGGGGUAAAUGGCUACACCAAGGCGAACGAUCCGUAACUGGUCUGAGAGGAUGAUCAGUCACACUGGAACUGAGACACGGUCCAGACUCCUACGGGAGGCAGCAGUGGGGAAUAUUGGACAAUGGGCGAAAGCCUGAUCCAGCCAUGCCGCGUGUGUGAAGAAGGUCUUCGGGAUUGUAAAGCGACUUUAAGUUGGAGGAAGGGCAGUAAGUUAAUACCUUGCUGUUUUGACGUUACCGACAGAAUAAGCACCGGCUAACUCUGUGCCAGCCGCCGACG
rnacentral:rRNA from 1 species